rnacentral:misc_RNA from 1 species
AUGGGUUUUACUGGCUUCGGCCGCAAUCCCCCACCCUUCAAAACAGCGGCUAAGGUUCGGCGCCUAGGCGAGGCCGCCCCCCGUUCGCGGGGGGUGGCACCGCCCGCCGGAAUCUCGCAACCCUGCCUGAAAAUUUGCAGUCUGAGAAAAAUGAUAAAUUAGCGA